rnacentral:rRNA from 1 species
ACGAACGCUGGCGGCGUGCUUAACACAUGCAAGUCGAACGGAAAGGCCUAGCUUGCUGGGUACUCGAGUGGCGAACGGGUGAGUAACACGUGGGUGAUCUGCCCCUGACUUUGGGAUAAGCCUGGGAAACUGGGUCUAAUACCGGAUAUUCAUUUUUCCUCGCAUGGGGAUUUGUGGAAAGCUUUUGCGGUUGGGGAUGGGCCCGCGGCCUAUCAGCUUGUUGGUGGGGUAAUGGCCUACCAAGGCGACGACGGGUAGCCGACCUGAGAGGGUGAUCGGCCACACUGGGACUGAGACACGGCCCAGACUCCUACGGGAGGCAGCAGUGGGGAAUAUUGCACAAUGGGCGCAAGCCUGAUGCAGCGACGCCGCGUGAGGGAUGACGGCCUUCGGGUUGUAAACCUCUUUCAGCUCCGACGAAGCGCAAGUGACGGUAGGAGCAGAAGAAGCACCGGCCAACUACGU